AUGAAAUCUAUGGGUACCUCAGUUUUCUCAUACAAAAAUAAGGAUAAUAAUAUCCUAUAGGGUUUUUUGAAGAUUAAGUGAGACUAUGCACAUAUGGGCCUCCAAAGAGAACCUGACUCACAGCCAUCACUCACUCUUGGACAUUGAAUGACUGACCAUGUGGAAGCUCCCAACUGAUUAGACCAAGGCUGAACAUCUGACUCCAGGUAACAAUUGGCGACCACAAAGGCACCCAGGGAGACCCCCAGCUUCCCUCAGCAUGAUCAGAGAUCAGUGCAUCAAUGUCUACACAAGACCGUUGAUGGUUCAGUUGUUUCCCUGACCUCACCCGGAGAACUUCAGGCCAGCGUGGAAAUCAACGUCUGGGGAGCUUGGAGCUCUUUGCAACCAACCUCCUUUAAAG